rnacentral:lncRNA from 1 species
GAAGUCCUUCCCCAUGAUCCAAUCACCUCCCACCAGGCCCCUCCUCCAGCAUUGAGGAUUACAAUUUGACAUGAGAUUUGGGUGGGAACACAGAGCCGAACCAUAUCACUGGUCACUGUGGUGUCUCUAAAAGGCCAGGAACCAGUUUGAGGACCACCCACUGGGAGGAGAGCUCUGAACCAACACCUUGAGGAAACGGAGGCUCAAAUGCUCGUCAGUUUUCCCGGGACGUGGGCUGUGAUAUACCUGCUCAUAUCCACUGCCUGUUUUUAGAGAAGAGGCAUCCAGAAUGGCAGAAAGAUGCACGGCAAUGUCCUCAUUGUGUCAGGCGUGGCUUGGGUCCCUGUACCCUACUGAAGAAAUUUGAAGGUGCCACAGAAGAGAACCCAAAACAAGUCACAGAAAUGAGCCAAAGUAAUUAAAGAUGUUACCAUGUUACCUACCAUGCCUCAGGCAUUGGGCUACAAAGAUGCACAGAGAUUCCUUACCUUGAAGAGUUCAAGACCUGGGGCACAGAAUGGCCAGGGGCACAAGACAGCUCAUGGAGGAGGAACGAGAAGUCCAGCACCAUGAGAUGAGUAUUCAAACGCAACUGAGCGAGAAGAUCCAGAUAAAUGCAGCCCUUCAUUCAAGGCUACACUUUCUGAUGGCUAUUACAUUUGAACUCCAAGAGGAAAGUCUUCAUUUCCUUGAGCAAUAUCCUAAUCUCAUUAAAGAAAC